rnacentral:rRNA from 1 species
AUACGUAGGGGGCGAGCGUUGUCCGGAAUGAUUGGGCGUAAAGGGCGCGUAGGCGGCCCGGUAAGUCUGGAGUGAAAGUCCUGUUUUUAAGAUGGGAAUUGCUUUGGAUACUGUCGGGCUUGAGUGCAGGAGAGGUAAGUGGAAUUCCCAGUGUAGCGGUGAAAUGCGUAGAGAUUGGGAGGAACACCAGUGGCGAAGGCGACUUACUGGACUGUAACUGACGCUGAGACGCGAAAGUGUGGGGAGCAAACAGGAUUAGAUACCCUGGUAGUCCACACUGUAAACGAUGAAUGCUAGGUGUAGGGGGUAUCGACCCCUUCUGUGCCGCAGUCAACACAAUAAGCAUUCCGCCUGGGGAGUACGGCCGCAAGGUUGAAACUCAAAGGAAUUGACGGGG